rnacentral:ncRNA from 2 species
CGAACCCGCGCGGGAGAGUCCGGAGUGCCCCUGGCGGGCACGGGCCGGCGCCGAAGGAGCAAGUCCUCCCCGGAAUCUCUCAGGCACCCCUACCGCAUGGGCGAG